rnacentral:rRNA from 1 species
AUGGAGAAGCUUGGCAUGAAGGUCAUUACUGGUGUGAACUGUGUAACUAUCAAAAAGAGCAAGACCGUUACGUUUGUCCUCUCCAAGCCAGAUGUCUUCAAGAGCUCACACUCAGAAACCUAUGUCAUUAUCGGGGAGAUCAAGUUCGAGGACCUGAACACUGAGCUGCAGACACAAGCGGAGCAGUUCAAGGCGCCGGGCCCGAGCAGGGUCAAUUCGAUGGGUGAGCCCUCCGUGGCAGCAGUCCAAGAUGAUGAGGAGGUCGACGAGACCGGUGUUGACAAGAAGGACGUCGAGCUCGUGAUGAUGCAGGCCUCUGUGUCGAGAUCCGGGGCCGUGGAGGCACUCAAGGCUGCGGAUGGCGAUAUUGUCAGCGCCAUCAUGGAGUUGACUAACUACGUCCUGGAAGGUGGAGUUGUGUCCUGA